AUUGAACGCUGGCGGCAGGCCUAACACAUGCAAGUCGAGCGGAGCGCCGGACGGGUGCGUAAUGCCUAGGAAUUUGCCUGGUCGUGGGGGUUAACGUCAAGCAAUGGGCGCUAUUACUGCAUCCUUUCGGAUGUGCAUAGGUCGGAUUAGCUAGUUGGUGGGGUAAGGGCAUACCAAGGCGACGCUCCGUAACUGGUCUGAGAGGAUGAUCAGUCACACUGGAACUUGGAAAAGGUCCAGCCUCCGACGUGAGGCAGCAGUGGGGAAUUUUGGACAAUGGGCGAAAGCCUGAUCCAGCCAUGCCGCGUGUGUGAAGAAGGUCUUCGGAUGGUAAAGCACUUUAAUUUGGGAGGCGUUACCAACAGAAUAAGCACCGGCUAACUUCGUGCCAGCCGCCGCGGUAAUAC
rnacentral:rRNA from 1 species